rnacentral:rRNA from 1 species
UACAGAGGGUGCUAGCGUUGUUCGGAAUCAUUGGGACGUAAAGGGCGUGUAGGCGGUUUGUUAAGUCAUGAUGUGAAAUCCCUCGGCUCAACCGGGGAACGACGCAUGAAACUGGCAAGCUAGAGUACCAAAGAGGGGGGUGGAAUUCCCGGUGUAGCGGUGAAAUGCGUAGAUAUCUGGAGGAACACCGGUGGCGAAGGCGGCAUCCUGGACCAAUAUUGACGCUGAGGAGCGAAAGCCAGGGGAGCAAACGGGA